CAGGCCUAACACAUGCAAGUCGAGCGGAUGAAGGGAGCUUGCUCCCGGAUUCAGCGGCGGACGGGUGAGUAAUGCCUAGGAAUCUGCCUGGUAGUGGGGGACAACGUUUCGAAAGGAACGCUAAUACCGCAUACGUCCUACGGGAGAAGGCAGGGGACCUUCGGGCCUUGCGCUAUCAGAUGAGCCUAGGUCGGAUUAGCUAGUUGGUGAGGUAAUGGCUCACCAAGGCGACGAUCCGUAACUGGUCUGAGAGGAUGAUCAGUCACACUGGAACUGAGACACGGUCCAGACUCCUACGGGAGGCAGCAGUGGGGAAUAUUGGACAAUGGGCGAAAGCCUGAUCCAGCCAUGCCGCGUGUGUGAAGAAGGUCUUCGGAUUGUAAAGCACUUUAAGUUGGGAGGAAGGGUUGUAGAUUAAUACUCUGCAAUUUUGACGUUACCGACAGAAUAAGCACCGGCUAACUCUGUGCCAGCAGCCGCGGUAAUACAGAGGGUGCAAGCGUUAAUCGGAAUUACUGGGCGUAAAGCGCGCGUAGGUGGUUCGUUAAGUUGGAUGUGAAAUCCCCGGGCUCAACCUGGGAACUGCAUCCAAAACUGGCGAGCUAGAGUAUGGUAGAGGGUGGUGGAAUUUCCUGUGUAGCGGUGAAAUGCGUAGAUAUAGGAAGGAACACCAGUGGCGAAGGCGACCACCUGGACUGAUACUGACACUGAGGUGCGAAAGCGUGGGGAGCAAACAGGAUUAGAUACCCUGGUAGUCCACGCCGUAAACGAUGUCAACUAGCCGUUGGGAGCCUUGAGCUCUUAGUGGCGCAGCUAAACGCAUUAAGUUGACCGCCCGGGGAGUA
rnacentral:rRNA from 1 species